GAUGAAGAACGCAGCGAAAUGCGAUAAGUAGUGUGAAUUGCAGAAUUCAGUGAAUCAUCGAAUCUUUGAACGGACAUUGCGCCCCUUGGUAUUCCAUGGGGCAUGCCUGUUCGAGCGUCAUUUGUACCCUCAAGCUUUGCUUGGUGUUGGGUGUUUGUCCCGCGUUGCGCGUGGACUCGCCUUAAAGCGAUUGGCAGCCGGCAUAUUGGCCUUGGAGCGCAGCACAUUUUGCGCUUCUAGUCAUGAAUGUUGGCGUCCAUUAAGCCUAUACAUUUGCUCUUGACCUCGGAUCAGGUAGGGAUACCCGCUGAACUUAAGCAUAUCAAUAAGCGGAGGA
rnacentral:misc_RNA from 1 species